UCAGGGACGGAGCUCGGCCGUGAGCAGGAGUGAACGACUGAGUGCAUCAGUGACUCAGGGGAGCAACUCAGGAAAUCUACGAUCGCGUCCUGAAGUUCAAGUGGUCUUUCUUCUGUGGCCUUGGUGGAAAUGAUCUGUAGUUGGGGCUGCUCCGACUCUACCCAACCGGCCGUGUGGGCAAGGCCUUGGCUCCUAAUGUACCAAUGAAGAGGCCGUGGCGUUCCCAUCCCAGGUUUUCGGCGAGGACUGAGCGAGAUCCUGCGUGGAAGGUGCUUUGCACUGCGGCAGGCACGUGGGGAGGGCUACAGGGCUGCAGCUCCUGCUCUCACCUGCCCUCACGCCAGGCAUUCUUUUUUUCCCCCCUCCUUCUAAAGUUUUAAAGAGAGUGCAGAAAACACUAGCACAGACCUCGGUGCACACACAGGAACCCAGCACAAAUCUCAUUUACAGACGGAGUCAGAACAUCACAACAUUUUACGGUUAUUGCUGCAGUCGUCUUGUGCCUCCCUUCCCAGAGAUAAUGGAUAAGGAGCACCUGCUGGUUGACCCUGGACCUGCACCUGGGCAGUUAAAGGCUCCCAAUCCUCUGCACCUGCCCUUAGACUGUUGGCUCUGCCCACGUUUGCAAGGGAAGAACCAUUUUAAAGGAUGCAGGCUUGAGUGAACACAGUGUUGCUGAGACUCUGGGAACAGUGUGUGUGAGGGAACCCAGUGCCUGAAUCUUCCCUGACUUCAAGAAAGACUUGGCAAUGGGUGAGAGGAACAGUAAUGGGGUGGCCAGACAAGGCUGUGAUGAAAUAGGCUGAUUGUAUUCAUGACCCUGGUGCUGCCUGGGAAUUGGAAGUGCGGGCUCCUGGG